GACGAACGCUGGCGGCGCGCCUAACACAUGCAAGUCGAACGAGAGAUGAGGAGCUUGCUCUUCAAAUCGAGUGGCGAACGGGUGAGUAACGCGUGAGGAACCUGCCUCAAAGAGGGGGACAACAGUUGGAAACGACUGCUAAUACCGCAUAAGCCCACGGCUCGGCAUCGAGCAGAGGGAAAAGGAGCAGUCCGCUUUGAGAUGGCCUCGCGUCCGAUUAGCUAGUUGGUGAGGUAACGGCCCACCAAGGCGACGAUCGGUAGCCGGACUGAGAGGUUGAACGGCCACAUUGGGACUGAGACACGGCCCAGACUCCUACGGGAGGCAGCAGUGGGGAAUAUUGCACAAUGGGGGAAACCCUGAUGCAGCGACGCCGCGUGGAGGAAGAAGGUCUUCGGAUUGUAAACUCCUGUUGUUGAGGAAGAUAAUGACGGUACUCAACAAGGAAGUGACGGCUAACUACGUGCCAGCAGCCGCGGUAAAACGUAGGUCACAAGCGUUGUCCGGAAUUACUGGGUGUAAAGGGAGCGCAGGCGGGAGAACAAGUUGGAAGUGAAAUCCAUGGGCUCAACCCAUGAACUGCUUUCAAAACUGUUUUUCUUGAGUAGUGCAGAGGUAGGCGGAAUUCCCGGUGUAGCGGUGGAAUGCGUAGAUAUCGGGAGGAACACCAGUGGCGAAGGCGGCCUACUGGGCACCAACUGACGCUGAGGCUCGAAAGUGUGGGUAGCAAACAGGAUUAGAUACCCUGGUAGUCCACACCGUAAACGAUGAUUACUAGGUGUUGGAGGAUUGACCCCUUCAGUGCCGCAGUUAACACAAUAAGUAAUCCACCUGGGGAGUACGACCGCAAGGUUGAAACUCAAAGGAAUUGACGGGGGCCCGCACAAGCAGUGGAGUAUGUGGUUUAAUUCGACGCAACGCGAAGAACCUUACCAAGUCUUGACAUCCCUUGACGAACAUAGAAAUAUGUUUUCUCUUCGGAGCAAGGAGACAGGUGGUGCAUGGUUGUCGUCAGCUCGUGUCGUGAGAUGUUGGGUUAAGUCCCGCAACGAGCGCAACCCUUAUGGUCAGUUACUACGCAAGAGGACUCUGGCCAGACUGCCGUUGACAAAACGGAGGAAGGUGGGGAUGACGUCAAAUCAUCAUGCCCUUUAUGACUUGGGCUACACACGUACUACAAUGGCGUUAAACAAAGAGAAGCAAGACCGCGAGGUGGAGCAAAACUCAGAAACAACGUCCCAGUUCGGACUGCAGGCUGCAACUCGCCUGCACGAAGUCGGAAUUGCUAGUAAUCGUGGAUCAGCAUGCCACGGUGAAUACGUUCCCGGGCCU
rnacentral:rRNA from 1 species